AAAGGGAUGGACCUGCGAUGCAUUAGCUAGUUGGUAAGGUAACGGCUUACCAAGGCGAUGAUGCAUAGCCGAGUUGAGAGACUGAUCGGCCACAUUGGGACUGAGACACGGCCCAAACUCCUACGGGGAGGCAGCAGUAGGGAAAUCUUCCACAAUGGACGAAAGUCUGAUGGAGCAACGCCGCGUGAGUGAAGAAGGUUUUCGGAUCGUAAAGCUCUGUUGUUGGUGAAGAAGGAUAGAGGUAGUAACUGGCCUUUAUUUGACGGUAAUCAACCAGAAAGUCACGGCUAACUACGUGCCAGCAGCCGCGGGUAAU
rnacentral:rRNA from 1 species